UUAUCUAAAGAUAUGAGAGCAGAAAGAAAGAGGAAGAGGGGGGAAGAAAAGGAGAUUUUUUUUUAAAGGAAACACAAAGCUAUUGUUUGGAUGUCAUUCUCACACAUGGCAGAAAUUUCCAUUCGGGUAUAAUGGCAUCAAUUUGUUCUUUUUUCCCUCCUCUCUGGUCCCCACACCGCAUGCAAAAAUGAUCAUCAUCAACAUUCUCCUUAUCACUUUACAGAUAUGCCCCUCUCAAGAUUGCUUUAGAGGAAAAGAAAAAAAAACAGAAUGGAUACCAAAACCGAUGAAAAAGCGGAGUUCAUAAAUCACUGAGGCUUUAUUGGGUUCUACUUCAAAGUAUGUUUGGGCCUGGAAGCAAUAUAAAAGAGUUACCUAAGUCCCAAUAAUUCACAAUUGCAUUAGGUCCUCUGGCACCUCCAUAGAUUCUCAAAGAAAAAAGAAAAAGCCCAUGUAUCGGAAAUACAUGAGUGAACAGGUGGGAUACUGUGCAUAUGGCAUAACUCAGUCUGAUACUGAAUAUCGCACAUGAGGAAAACAGCAGCACUGAAGCAGCGCUGUUGGAGAAUUAUAGGUGAUGGGAAACAAAAUGAAACAGUGGUCUGUGCGUGUCGGUGAUAUAGGAAACCUGGAGUUAGCAAGCGGCAGCCCGCUGUGUAGGAAGAAGAAGAAGAGUGUUUCAGAAACUCGUUUCCUCUCGAGCAUGACUGCAGCUGGCCAAUUUACAAGCAGCAUGAAUAAUGCACAGACAGUUGGCCGAGAGCUGCUGUCCUCGCCGUUUUCUGCCACAAACGAUGGACAGGAGCUCGUUGGAAACAGGCAACAGGAGUUCAGUCUGAUGCCUUAAUAAUGCCAGUGGAGGGGAGGAAGCCCUGAACGCUGCCCUCGUGCAGAAUAACCGCCUCCAUUUCUGCUGAGACGAGUCCGAUGUGUUUAAUUAACGGGUCAAAUCUGGAGGUCAGAGGUGGUUCUGCUGCUCCUCAGGCUGAUUACUGAAUGAAACCCUGCUGCUUUAUGUCCUCUAGGAGCUGACAUCCACGCUAGGUCUGUGCAACCAGCAUUGCUUCAUGUUUAAAGCCCUGACAGUCCAAGUGAAUAACUUUCCUGUAAUGAUAUAAUGUUUUGCUGGGAAACCUUGGCUCUUGGUAUUUAUGUGGAUGUUAUUUUGACGUGUACAACCCAACUAAUGGGUCAACGUGCCCCACAACUCCACAAAAACUGCUCAAUAAUGGCUCAAAGGAUACAACAACAAGACCAAACUGCUGACCCGGCCUUCAAAUUCUGUAGACUCCAAUCAAAUCAUGGAUCUAUUUCAGUCCACGGAAGUGUAUAUAAUCCACAGGACCCAACAGAUCUACAACCAAUGUUUUGCUUCCUGACACUCCUAAAAGUCCUGCGUUGUUGGCACAAGGUGGAUCUACACAAUAUUAAGCAGGUGGUUUUAAUGUUGUGGCUACUUGAGUCAAAUGGCAGUCACUGAAAAACUGUCAUACACAUGUUAAGCAGGUAGAGGAGGUCCUCGGUUUACGAUGUCCUUGACUUCCGUUUUGCUGUUGCGUCAGAACUGAUUACGGCCUGAUCCUUGGUUUAAUGUACUGGGUUUCGUCGUUACGUUGGAACUGGUUCAGGGGAACUAGUUGGUGAGCGGAGUGGACGAAUACGUCGUCAUGCGGCGAGCAGAGCGGAUGACUAUGUAGUCAUACGGCACUAUAAGAAGGCUUUGUUUACAUUGUUCUCCACAUUGGAUUAUGCUACAUUCGCUAGCUUCAUUUUGGCUCCCAAGCAUAAGUCAGAGUUACAGUUUACAUUUUCAUCCAUGUUUUCCUACCGAGUUGUGUUUCAGUGCGAGCUAAUGUUUGUCGUUUCUGUAGUUGUGCAAGUAAAUUAAAUGAUAUCGUGAUGCACGUAACGGCUUUUAUUUUAUUUGUAUACAUUUUCGCCGGAGUUCCGAUUUACGCCGGAGUCCAGAUUUACGCCGAAAAUUGACUUACAUCCCACCGCAGAAAAUAUACAAAUUUAGGAAGCUGGGGGGGACGACAGAUUUUUUAAAAACUAUUUUCCUUAAAAAAUUAUGCAAAUUGAUGAAUCAGCAAUGAAAAUAGUUAGCGGUUAUUUAAACAGUUGACGACUCUUUGAUUAAAUGUUACAGCUCCACAUCGUGGAGGGUUCAUCCAUUUUCAUACACAGUCCUGAGACCAAUAUGUCUCCAAAAUCUCAUUGCAGACCAUUUAAUAAUUGUUGACAAAUUUCAGCCCGGGCCACUGUGGUGAGCUGGCAGACAUUUGUUGCCAAUCACACGGCUCCCGCAGCUAAUACCCACUUUAUAUUAUUCACAUUAUACGACAAUGCUGCAAUCAUUUACACAGCGAGAUGCGAUAUGAACUUCCCCUGCAACACAUCUGAGGCGUCAUCUCCAAUUUCUGCCCUUGAGAAACGAGUAGCCACUGAUUGGUCCUCCUCACAUUCUGCCAGACGUGUUUAUUUUCCUCUUUUUACCUCCUUCAUCUCAUUGAUAUGCCACUGCCAGUCUUUCCAAGUGUGUGUGCCAGCAUAAGCGUGCGUACAUGAUGUUUUGUGUUAGGUCCCAUAAACACAGAACACUCAUUUCUCUCUGCUUGGCGCCUGAGGCAGAAUAAUAACAGGAUGCUCUCAAAGGAAAAACCUUUCUCUCUCUUUUUUCUCCCCUCACCAACAGAAACUCUCACCAUCAUUUCCUGCCUCUCUCAUGGACUAACAGCGAGCGCUUGGUGAAGCACCAGGCAGGUAAAUCUCGCUCUCAUUUGGCGAGCCUCCGAGGAGGGCUGUUGGGGCUCCCUGGUCCUCCCUCGGCCUUUGGAUGGUUAAAAACAAGCCAUUUUUUGCUCUAGAUACGCUAAAAAGUGUGCAUACUGUCUGUGUCAGCUGAAAACUUUGCAAUUCCUGCUAUUCUUGAGGUCUUCCGGUGGAUUUUGUCUGCAGCUCUAAGGUUGAAAAGCUCCACAACCGACCACAUCCUACAUAAAAAAAUGAAUAGAGAGAAGGGGGGAAAAAAUGACAACACGACAAGGUUUGAACACUGCAGCUGUAAUAGGAGUGCAGCUGUGCCUGCGGGGCAACACGGGCUGACGCAGUCUUUCACACCCUGAUAAAACAGCUUAGUCACCGAACCCCGGAACCCUCAGGCUGAGGUCAAGGACAUGAAACAAAUGCACACACACAGCCAUGAUGAUGAAUUUAGCAUCUGCUGUCUACACAAACACCUUGUUGUUCCCUCACAUCCUGCCCCAUCUCGUUCCUGCAUUAACACGGCGGAUAUCUGAUUCUAUAAAACCGCUACCGGAGUGAUAACGGGCGCUCACAAAUAUAUCACAAUUCAGUCGAAGCAAUACUGUACGCUGCACAGAUCUAGACAAGACCGUGCUCCCUGAUAAGGAUUCCCAAACAGCCGGCGUCAUCGCAAAGCCGACAUGGAAAUACGCGGUCAGUCGCAGGCGGAGGAGGGAACACAAACAAGGAAUAAACAAGACCUCGGAAAGCCGGAGUAUGGUGAGGUGAUGGGCAUCCAACGAGGGAGUAAAGAGGACAAAGAAGCUUCAGUUCUUGCAGCCAGAAACUCAGAUAAGAUUACAACAAGGUAAUUGGAGCAGCAGCAUUUUUUUUUCCCCCAGUGUCCUUUAAUGUGGUGCGAGGAGAAUAAGAGCAGGCUUUUUUUGAAAUGAUGGCGCAAAAUAGCAUUGAGAGGAUGAUGUACUUUAAUUCAGUAUGAUGGAGAAACGGUGGGGGGACAUGUCCAAUUAGGUCGCUAUGGAAACGCUCCACCUUCUCCACUUCCUCUCCCUCUGUCACUCUCCCCUUCGCUCGUCCUGCCGUCACCAUAAUGGCGCUCUCAAUGGCCGUACCCGUUGGGCUGUUACGUCAUUUGCGGGAGUAAUUGUUCCCGCGGUCAAUUUCUCGAUAGAGCAGCCGGGGCGCGGUGCUGCUGCUUCGGUGUCCCUGGAGUCGACCAGUCGAUGGAGGCCUGUCUGUCAGCCGGAGGAUGUGAGUCGGGGGAGCACUGGAGGGAGCUGGCUGGAGUUUUAAUGUGUCACUGUUUCCAUGUGGAUGUGACCUCGCAGGCACUGUUGUAGGAAGGCAUUUAAAGGGUCAGUUCACCCAAAGUAAGGAAACAGAAAUCCUGCAAAGAGUUACUGAGUUCACACUGUGAGUUAGAGAUGUCCUGUUCUUUUUGCCUCCAACCCAAUCCAAGUCUUUUCAAAUUUAGUCUCUAGGAUGCAAAGUCCCAAUGUGAUACCAUUUCCUUAGCUAGAAUAUGGUCAAGUGUACUAUUCGCAUGGGAUUACUAGUACCUAAUUUGUGAAUUAACCCCACGUCUGUGUUUCUUGCAGUGCAUUUGCACGGGAUAAGCAAAGUCUAUAUUUUACUUAAAUUUACUGACGUUACAGCCUGGAUUUGAUGUCAAAUCUGUGCAACACUUUAUGUCCUUCAGCUCAACCUAAAAUAUUUAAUUCAAAGCCACAACUUGUUCGAUCCCUUUCUGACACCUGUAUGGCAGCAGAUGAAAACAAAGGCUCAGGCUUAGAUUGGUAACAGUACCGACCACUUGAAAAUGCCGUGAUCAACUCUAUCUUGACCUCAGAUAAUCAUCAAACUCCACUUGAUAUGAGGCAGAAUUCAUAGCUGGAUCAAUAGCAACGCCAAGCCGUUAUAUAUCCUCCCCCAUGUUGUCUUUGGUCUGCUCCAAAAUGUCUCCUGCUGCCGUGGCCAAACAACUCUAUCUUUGAUUUGUGUCGAGAGCACAUUAUUCCAAAAAGCCUGGCGCUCACUGGCAAACUGUAGUUUUUUUGUAAAGAUCUUUUUUGGUCAACGAAGGUCUUUUUCCUGGAUGGCCUCCCAUGCAGGUCAGAUUUGUGAAAGUUCUGAUUAUAGACACAGCACUUUGACAUCAACAACUGCCGGAGUUACCGGCUCUGGGCAGCCAUUUCUGGACAAAUCUGCAAUCUUGAAUUUUAAAAGUCUUUUUAAAUCCCUUGCCAAACCUACAGGCAUCCACAAUGUCUUUUUGCCUGAAGGUCUUCGGCCUUGAUUAUACCUCCCUGUGGACGUACACUUUGACAGUUGCAGACACCAACAGUAGUUGUAAAUAGAUGAGUUUCAUGAAUGCUCAGUAGAAGAGCAUGAAGGCAGAGGUCUGCAGAGGGGUCUUUGUGGACUCUUAUUGGAUAAAGGAAAGCUUGGAAACUCACAGAUGCAGAAAGUAUAACAUUGGCCUAAGAUUGUGAUUUAGAUGUUGGCACAGUGACACCACUCACUAGUGUUCACGGAAGUUUUAAAUAAGACCGGUUCCACCUCUCACUUCCUAAGAAGGAUCUAGUCGAAGCACCUCAUCCGCACUCUCUGAUUCUAAUUUGUUGGAUUUGAGAGUCUAAUAAAUGCAAGAGUAUACUUACUAUUCAAAAUGCUACAGAUUGGUUUUUAUAUUAAACUCAUCGACAUGAUAGAAAUAACUACUAUAAAUGUCACCUUUAUCUGUUUAGUUGGGUUUCAGAGGAUAAAUCGUUUGCUCGUUUGAACACAUUUUGAAAAAAAUUCUACAUUUUCCAUCAGUUACCACUUUUUUCACGUCUCUCAACAAAUUAGGAUUUUUCUGCAUCAGAUAUUCUAUUUGUUUAUGUUUUCUUGCAAAAUCCCAUUUUUUAAACAUCUGUAGAAUUUUAAAAUUAUAAAAACACAAUCUGAUCUACAUCCUGUAUGGGUUUGGUUUGAUCUGAAUGUGGUUAAAAGUUGUCUGUGGUUGCCAAUCAAAUCUGAUCAAGUUUUUCAGUGUCAAAUUACACAUUCAAUGCUGCAAAGUCUGUUGCUUACUUAGUUAUGAAUAUUUUAAUGCUUAAUUCGAAUAAACAUUUCCUCAUUUGUUCUCCCACUAUCAGUGCUUCCAUUUCUCCACAGAAACUGCUGCAAACAGUUUUGUUAAAGCAGAAAUGAGUUAAUUUAAAAUGGAGAGGAAAGGGGGAAAAGUCAAGAAAGGGCUCAUAUAUCAUGUUAUGUCAUGAAGGAAAAUCUAUAGUCUACAGCAGUGCUAAUGGCUCUAUGGGACUGUACAUUGGAACAGCGGUGCUUUACGCUAAAUGCUAACGUCAGCAUGCUAAUAUGCUCAUAAUGCUUUGGACAGCAGUCUUAGUUUAGCACGUCAGCAAGGUAACAUUUGACAACAAGCACAAAGCAGGGCCGAGUUGCUACGGUAUGUCAUUAGUCCUGCAGGUAUUCAGUCAGAAGCAAAGUGAACAAACUGGAAAAGUAACACAACUCAUUCACACGAGUUUCUGUGCUCAGUUUUGAUGACAACCCCCCCCCCCCCACAGAUAAAUUAAUAUUUAGUUUUUUAAGCUUUUUAACAUCUAUUUAUGGUGUUUUUUUGCUAGACCACACAUCAUAAACAAUCUAUGCCAUGGCUGAGCAAAUUCAGCGCACUGAUGACGGUCUCAAAAAGCAAGAUUUAGAUUUUCAGGGUUUCUUACAUCACAUAUCAAAUGAACCAAUCCUUGCAGGGCAGGACUGACUGCAUAGUUAUUCUUCUCUUUAGAAUUGUUUUUUGCUCCCAUCAUGUAUGGCUGAAUUAUUUUACAACUUGCUGUUAUGUAGCAUUGAAUAGUUUGGCGGUGUUUGAGAAGAGUUGUAGGUGAGCUGGUGCGCUCGAGCUGCAGGCAACCAUGCAGGUUUACAAUAUUUUACAUAUUUCAAGGCCUGAAGGUUAUUAUUUCUAUUGAAAAAAACUUCUAAAUAUGUAACACUGGUGCACAAAGAAGUUUUUAGGAGUUAAAUCAACAACCAGAGAGGGAAUUUAAAGCAUGUAAAGACACUCUAGUAGACUGCCAAAAUAAAAUUAUAAAUGUACAAAUGCUCGUUUCAAAAAAAAAAAAAAAAUAAGGGGGCAGGAAACUGUGUGGGAGAUUCACUUCUCUGAAAUGUAUCUGGUGCGAAAAAGCACAUACUCCAUUUGGAAGGUAUUGCCAUCACAAAUAGAACGAAAUUGCCUUUGAGAAGUUUAGUGCUUGAAUAAAGAAGCCAGAUGGACGCAAGGAUUUUCUAUAGUUUGCAAAUCUGACAAAAAAACUUUGGGAAGGUUUGUUUGCCUACACUUGCAUCGCAGUUCCAGCAGAGAGGAUAUAGAGGUCUAUGGAUUUUUCUGGCGUAACAAUGACACUUUUAAAAACUUGUUGCAUGCUGUAUUUUCCCUUAAAUGUCAUCUUUCUGUGCUGCGGGCGCCACAAACUAAAUUCCCUUUCACCUCCGUUGUGCUGAGGUGGAGGCAGAAAUUGCGGAGACAGAUAUCUCAAAACCUUGGCAUUUUGAUAAUUUGGGUGAACUGACCUUUUAAGAAUGAAGCAAUGAGACUUCAUAAAUAGGUUAGUGUGGGCGCUCGGUAAACAGCCGGCUCGCCAGACGGACAGGCAGACAUAUUGAAGACAAAGGAAGAUGUAGAUGAACGAAGUCGUAAAGUGUCUCAAUAAUUUUUUUUUUUUUUUGAAGGGGGACUAUUUUUGGCAUGAGUAAUAUUAUUUUUCACUCUGCGAGAGAUAGGAAGUCAGUCCUGAUAAGUGUUUGUGAAACCCAUUUGCAGUCCAUGCGGGAGACAGUCCAUGCAGAGGGAAAACACACACCCAGAGCCGGAGUUUGCACACACACACACACACACACACACACACACACACACACACACACACACACACACACACACACACACACACACACACACACACAUAUAUACACAAGCCCUAGAGGACGCACACGGCUGUAUUUGUGUCAGUCGAUAAGACGGUGCUGAGAGACGAAGGGGGUAAGUGCACAGAGGGGGGAGACAGAGACAGAGAGAGGGAGAUGCACAGAGAGAUUAGAGAUGGAGAGCAGUGGAGGGAGGCGGAGGGUUUGUUGGAGAGGCGCUCCCCACCGGCUCACUAAAAUCAUCACUGGCCCAAUUUCACAGGAAGCUCUAAAACCCGUCCAUUAUCUCCUGGCUCGUUGGCUGUCAGACGCAGCCUCAUCGACGCCCCUGACAGAUGACGGUCUGUCUGUCUGUCUGAGCCUCACAAACGUGCAAGAAGACAAUGCGUGCACAAGUGAAGUAACCUCCUGGCUUGUUGCAUAAUUCAUGCGCCGUGUACCUGCAGCCCCGGGGGAAGUACGGUUGAUAUGAGGUAAGCAGAGGUUGCGUCUAGUUCUUUGAGCGUGCCAGACUUCUCCCUCAUUUCUUCUCUGCCAGCUGCUCUAAUACCAUUCAGCUCUCACCCCAAACAUCCAUGUUACAUAAUCAUCUUUUUUUUUUUUUCUCCCCCUCGCAGCAGUCCCAGCACUGAAAAGGCACUAAUAACAGAGAGCAAGUUUCUGGGCAACAGUGCUGAAGGAAGUGCCUCCGCACUGGAGCUGUAAUGACAGAAGAACAACUUCUUGUCAGAAAACAUUUGAAUUUAAAUGUGUUUUUGACCCCGUGUUUCUGUCUGACGCUCGCUGCAGCAGGAUUUCUUAAAAUAAUUUUUUAGCCUUAUUAGGACUAUAGACACUCGGGCAACAAGGGAAGAGAAGUACAGUGCCUAUAGAAGGUUUUGAAUCUUGGUCAAUUCAAUUAGUUUGGACAAGAAUUUAAAAGAGAAGAUUCUUCUGUGUCAAGAAGAAAACGCAGAAUAAGCAUUGCAAAGUAUAUACCCCCUUUAGCAGAUGCACUUUUGCCCACAUUACAGCAUUGAGCCUGUGUGGGUAGGUCUCAAUCAGCAUUGCACAUCUGGAUGCUGCAAUUUUAUCCAAUUCUUCAUUGCAAAACUGCUCAAAGUCUGUCAGGUUACACCAAGAUGGUGAUUAAACAGUCGUUUCAAGUCUAGCCAUAAAUUUUCAGUUGUAUUGAGUUCUAGGCUUUGACUUGGUCACUCCACAACAUUCACCUUGUUGUCUUUAAACCAUUUCUAUGUUGCUUUGGCUGUUUUCUCCAGGUUAUUGUCUUGCUUGAAAACAAAUGUUCUCCUAAGUCGCUCUUCUUUUGCAAACUGCAUCAGGUUGGCCUCCAGGAUUUCCCUUUACACUGAUGAAUUCAUUUUACCCUCUACCUUUACAAGCCUCCCAGGGCCUGAUGCUGAGAAGAAACACCAACAUCACCAUGCUUCAUAUCAUGAUGCUGCCACCACCAUGCUUCACAUCAUGAUGCUGCCACCACCGUGCUUCACAUCAUGAUGCUGCCACCACCAUGCUUCACAUCAUGAUGCUGCCACCACCGUGCUUCACAUCAUGAUGCUGCCACCACCGUGCUUCACAUCAUGAUGCUGCCACCACCACUGUUCCCUCUAAGAUGCGCGCAUGUGCAAUUGCGCACUGCUGACACGCUCUCCGCGCACAGAAAAUCUGCGCUGCGCAAAAAAAAAAAAAAUCCAACCUAAAUUGUAAAUAAAAUGAACACGUAACAAUUCAUUCUGUGCUAUUUUUCAAUGUGAGUCAGUGAGUGACCGGUGACUGGCUGCUGCAGCCAAUGAUGCGAUUCACAUACGUAUUUACCAUAGACUGUAUAUAAUGGUAUUUACACAGCUAAUCAACGUCAGGCGUCCUUAUGUGCAGCCAUCGUUGUUCUCAUAGAUAUGAAUGAGUAGAUAGGACACGCCCCUUUGAGCUGCGUGCUACAGCGAGGCUAAGCUAGUGGGGGAAAAGUUUCAGUGUAUUCUGUUGAUGUAGACGGCGUGAAAACGGAAACAAGUAUGCCGGCUCACUGUGCUGCAUACAAUUACACACUGCGUCGUACGAUUGAGACAAGGAAACUUGGAAUGACUUUUCAUAGGUAAGAAUAGUUUUUGGCUCUUUUUUCAUUAUGAAAUCUUGUUGAGAGCUUCCAGUCUAUGAGAGCUAACUAGUUAGCCACUAGCAAAACGCUAAGGCGAGCUAGCAGCUUGACAACCAAAUACCAGACAAUUAAUAGUAGCUGUAGUAUAGUUGUACAAGCAGUAGUAGUAAUACUAAAAGUACAAGCAGCAGUAGUAGUAUAAACAGCUGUUAGAGUCAUAGAAGUAGUAUCAGCAUUUGUAAUAGUAUUACAAGUUGUAGUAGCAGUGCCAGUAUCAGCAGAAGUAAUUUGUGUACUACCACUACUACUGGUAGUAGUCACAUUACUAUUACUACCAUCAAUACAACCAAUAGUAGUUAUAAAGCCUAACUCAUGUAUAUCCAGAUUACCAUCUAUGUUCUUCCUCCAAACCCAUUUUAUGAUUGGGAUUACAGGCAGUUCUUUAGGACUGCUCUCAAAUAAUUGAAAUGUUACUAAACAAGGUUAUACUUAUCAAAUAGCUCUGGUCUCCAGUAUAUUGGCGAAUUCGGUUCUUUGUACUUAAUUUAUUAGCAUGAUUUUUUUUUAAUAUGUUGUGUACAGACUUAAUUACUCCUCUGUCAACUUUUUUUUUUUGUCUGCAUUUGUUCUCAUUGUUUAACUCCACAAAAGAGGUGUCAACAUUGUAUGAGAUUGAUGCAUAGUUUAGUCUUGCAGCCAAAUAUUUUAAUAUUUAGUGCAUGUGUGUGACCAUCACCGGCCCUCCCUGAAAGCUAAGCAGAUAUUCUUUAUUAGAAUUUCCUAUUAUGAGCCAGGGAGAUGCUGUGGAGACCCGAGAUGCUGUGAGAUCGCGAGAUUCAGUGAGAGUGACGAAAUUCAACAUGGCGGCUCCCAGCUGCUAGAUGAGAAGUUUCCCAGAGACUAUGGGUUGAGGAGGAAUUGGAAGUUUGUCGGCUUAGACCUGGUGUCAUUCCAUCAGUGUUAAACUUCCCGGCUCAUCUUGGAAGAGUACGUGCCAGAAAGACCACGACCAAGCAGCCUUGAGAUCUUAGGCAGCGUCUCCCUGAGCCACCAACCACUGGAACACAUCUCCAAAGUUCUGCCGGGCCAGCUCAGCUUCCCCUCAGAAGAAGUGCUGCCACCUGCCAGAUGAAGGAGCCUUUUGAGAGGCAGCUGGCAUCGUGAUUGGACUGUACUUUGGUCUGUUCCAAUCCAGCUUCAGCUCCAGAGACGGCAGGCGGGACGAGUCAACGGAGGCCGGGUGGACGAAGGCAUGCAGCUGAGUACAAUCCAGAAAACAACAGAGGAGGAGUGCAGCAGCCCAGAGCCAGAACAAACAGAGUAGCAUCGUAUGUCUCUUAGAAAACAUCAUAGUAUAGCCUUUGCUAUGAAAAAAUGGCAUCAUAUACAUCGUAUAUUGUACAAAUAACAAGUCAAAGGAAAGAGACAUACAUUGUAGAAUUGUAGUAAUUGUGGGCUGACUGAUUUACUGAUUAUCAGUAUUUUAUUUUUUACUGAUUUACGGUAAUAAAUACAUUUAAAAAUGGUGCUAA